rnacentral:tRNA from 3 species
UGGGGUAUAGCUAAGUGGUAAGGCACCGGAUUCUGGUUCCGGCAUUCCUAGGUUCGAAUCCUAGUACCCCAG